rnacentral:rRNA from 1 species
CAGUCGCCACGGGAAUACGGAGGGUGCAAGCGUUAAUCGGAAUUACUGGGCGUAAAGCGCACGCAGGCGGUCUGACAAGUCAGAUGUGAAAUCCCCGGGCUUAACCUGGGAACUGCAUUUGAAACUGUCAGGCUGUAGUCUUGUAGAGGGGGGUAGAAUUCCAGGUGUAGCGGUGAAAUGCGUAGAGAUCUGGAGGAAUACCGGUGGCGAAGGCGGCCCCCUGGACAAAGACUGACGCUCAGGUGCGAAAGCGUGGGGAGCAAACAGGAUUAGAUACCCGUGUAGUCCCUGUCUCUUAUAC